rnacentral:sRNA from 2 species
UAUCCGAUAGGGCUGAAUCCCCUUAGGGGGAACGGGGGAACCAACUAUCGGGGGUGAAUCUCGCCGUAGGCGAGUAGGGUAGUAGCUCUUUCAACCCGAACCCGUCAGCUAACCCCGUAGGCCACUGAAAGAGGCAUA